GCUGGGCGUGGUGGUGCACACCUGUAAUCCCAGAAGCUCAGGAGGCUGAGGCAGGAGGAUUGUGAGUUCAAAGCCAGCCUCAGCAGAAGCAAGGCGCUAAGCAACUCAGUGAGAUCCUUUCUCUA
rnacentral:sRNA from 1 species